GCACCUUUCGCAUAUUUUAAUUUAACCCAUUAUUUUUCUAUAAUUUCUUCCCUCGUAUUAUUUUUCUAUUUUAUUUUUCAAUCUAGUGCUUUAUUUAUUUAAUUUUGCUCCUUUACUUACCUUUAUAUUAUUUUCAACAUUGCAGAUUUAUAUUAUUCACAUUUCACCCCUUUUUUUUAAACUAUGCAUUUUUAUUUUUAUUUUUUUAUCCUUAGGUGAUUAUUAUUUUUAUUUAUGUUGGUAUUAUGGUAUUAAUCAUGCCAUAACUAUGGCCAUUAUUAUAAUGAAUUAAUAUUAUUGUUACUAUUAUAGAAGUAUUAUUAUCUAUUAGCAUAAUUACUAUUACUUUUAUCAUCAUGUCAUUAUAUCAUUAUUUUGCCCUUUUUUUACCCAUGUAGUUAUUUCAUUUCUAUCCAUUUAUUUAUUUAUUUAUUUUUACCAUUGUCAUAUACAU
rnacentral:lncRNA from 1 species